GUUUUUAUUAGUACAGUAUCACUUAAACACACACAAAGAAUAGGUGAAAAUUGGAAAUUGAGUGAAAAAUUCAAAAUAUAGUCAUACAAAAGUGUCCUUUUUUUACAAAAAGAAGACCAACCAUCAAAACAUGUUAUUUAUAUAUCCUGGAGAUGGUUAUCUCAUCAUAACAGUAGGCUACUUGACUUUUCAAAAUAAAUUUACUGAUUAAGCUAACUUUUACCUUUUCAAAGCUUUUGAGUUGAUUACAAUAAUUAUUUCACUGAAUCCUUGAAAGUUAAUAGCGAUAGUUGGUAAAAAUUCUUCAUUCUAAGUAUUUGGAUUUAGCUUUUGGUUUUACUCAGAGAUGUCUUGACCCAAACGACUUAAAAUGGCAGAAAUUUUCUGAUUUUUUGGGGGACAAACUGUGAAAAUUGCUAACAAAAGUGUGUGCUGGUAUGAAAACACUUGAAUUUACUCAUAGUUUGAUCUAAAGAUAUCAUUUUUUCGAGUUAUUCGUCAACAUUAAAUGAAACAAGAUGGUGCCUGGGCCAGUUUUGGAAUGAUAUUUGAAUCAUGCAACUUUCAGAGAUUAAUAAAACAUAAUACCAACAUCAUCAUCAUCAUGAUACAAUUAUAGUAAUUAUUUAUUUUAAUUGCAAAGAGAAGAAGUGGGUAUAAGAUCAUAAUAUAUGUUUUCAAACCACCUAUGUUGACUAAAAAGGAAAAAUUGCAAAAUAGUGUCAUUUAAUGUUGUAGAAAAAAGACAAAUACAGCUUCUAUUCCUGAUCUGAAAAACAGAUACAAGAUAUAAAGCCUUAACUUAAGAUACCAUAAGAACCUUAACUCAAGGUAGAAGUAAAUUUCAUCAUCCUCCAUUCUCUACUUUUCCAUCCUGUAAGACUUAAAAGUCACCACUUCAACAGAAACUUGUAAGAUAACUUCAUGGAAAAUUUGUUUCAGUCUGGCUCUGACCAUCUAUCCAGAAGCAAUCAUUAACAUGUCAAAUGUAGCUGUAGUGGCCUUUAUUCAAACAAACUUCCUCUUACUGACCCUUAAACCUGAGUGCCCGUAAACAGGACAAUGUCCAACCAGCUAAACAAACGUCCAAAAUGGACCAAGAGUCCAUGGAAUGAAAGGAAUUUAUUCUGUACUCCUACCUACAGUAAAAAAAAGGGGGACAGCUGAUCCUACUCCAGCCUCGGGGAUUUUCACCAGAGUCUCGUCUAUAUUUUAACUGUUUCGGAGACAAACCCAUGAUGAGUGGAGGGAGAAUACUCUGAACAAAACCAUCUGUUGACAGAGGACUCACCUCACCAGAUCAUGUGGUAUCCUCCCAAACUAGAUCACAGAUAAUAUGAUUCAAAACAGAUGCACAGGGCUGCAGUUUGGCAUCAAAUUUAAAGUGACACCGUCUUCUGCCGUGAAGGUAAACUCUGGACUCCGUGCUUGAAGAGAAGUGCCAUUUUUUGCUGCGGUUAGUUUGCAGGUUGAAAAACAAAGACUCUUUUUGCUGUUAAAGGCCAAGAUCAGCACAAACUAAAAGCUGCCAUAACACUCACAGGAGGGAAACACACAUCAUUCUUGUUCUCUUGAUGGUGAUAUUGCUGCACAAACAUUCUUUAUAAGGUAUUUUGUGUUUUAUCCGUGAAACUGUGGAAGAUUCAAAGCAAAUCUUCACAGUUCGGAGUUUGCGUCUGUGAAGGGAACACUGUUGCAAUAGCUGUGGCUUUCUGUUACAGUCAAACCUGAAAUCUGGCAGGCGCUCCCGCCUCAGCUUAGAUGACAUAAAUUAAGCCUGAAGAGCGAGUUUGUCCUGAGCCACAGAAGAACACUCUAAAGGUAAAUGUUACAACAUGUGCUCUCUUAACUCUCUAUCAUAGGAGGGUAUGAAAACAGAAAAUAAAGGAUUACGUUUCUGAAACAAAAACUUGGACGUGUAUGUGAUGGUUUGACUUGGCCUGGGAGUGUGUGUUUGUGUUUGUGUGUGCUGACCUGGCACGUGGCUGCGUGUUGUUACAGGACUGUGAAUAUCUGAGGAGACAGCACACCAGAGAGGAAUGUUGAGUGAGGUGUCCUCACCCCUGGGUGGAUCUGUGCUCUGGUGUCUGUGGAGGAAAACACAGCCUGGAUCCUUACAGGCUUUCAACACCGACAUGUCAAAAUCAGCCCAACUAACACAAAUCAUCUCCACUCUGAUGGAAAUAAUUUGCUCUUUUUUGUGCAUCCAGAUAGAAGACUUACAGUUUUACAGUUUAAACACAGAGAAUAAUGACUCUGUUUUCUUCUUCAAUCUGUGGCCUCUAAUCUGAAAAUCAGUAUCAUUUUUUUAAACACUUUUUAUUAAACUUUAUGUUUAUCCAAAAAGCCAUCUUUCAUUUAUUUAUGAUCUUCGUUAAAGUUGUCCUGUAUUUUCUGUUUAGCUCCUUUUUUUAUCUUCGGAUCACUGUAUAUUUUAUACAUAGUAAAGCGUUUUGAAAGAUUAGUUGUUGGGUUUAAAUCCUAAGAAACAAUCAAAACACGAUCAUGCAUUAUUGACCCGAGUUUUCUUCAUGCCCAAAAAUGUGUUGUUGUAGACAGCAUUCACAAACCAGGACAAUCAAAGCUAUUAAAGAGGGACUAGUAGAGUGUCAGAGAAGUUUAUUCACACAUUCACACAUCAGGUCAGGGGAUCCCAAACUUUUCAGCCCAGGACCUCUAAAAUAAUGGUGUCAGAGACUGGCUCCCAGAAGGACCCCAACCUCCAAUUUGGGAAACUGUAUAACAUAAAACAUUUCAUCUAACACACUCUGAGGAGAUUUUAGUUUGUUUUGAAAAAGUGUCCCUCCUGUACUGAUGCCUCUUCCUAGCCAUCACUAAAAUGAGAUUAUCAGCUACAGGACAGGCUGUUAUUUAUAAUGAACUUUAGUGCCUGUGUUCAGGUCAGGAUUCCCACUUAAAAGUUGAGCCAAAAUUCGACUUUUACCUUUUAAAGUCCAUGUUCAGAACUGAAAUGGUGAAGUUUGACAUUGAGAAGUAAGAUAGCCAGCAGGAGGGAUCUAUUUUCCUUUAAUUUCUGUUAAAAUCUUUUUUUUUUUCUUUCAUGGCUAGUAUGCACAAACAGGAUUAGCCAAAAUAUCUACAAAUUUUUAGGAUGGAAAGUUAUCCAGCCGGGUCUAUGCUACAAAAUAGAUCAAAAUGUCUAAGAGUAGGAUUUAAUGUCUGUGCCAACAUGUCAGUAUUCACUCUUCAUUAAAGACAAAAUAUUAAUCCUAGACAAACAUUACUAAUCAAUCAUUAAUCUUGAUCAAGUUAGUGACUAAUUCCUGCCUUUUCUGAGCAUUUGGGACUUCAUUUCUCCUUCAAAUAUGUCUGUAAUCUGCAUCUAUUACAAUUAUAAGUUUAAUUUUGCAUGAAUUGUCAAAAUUCAAGACAGUAGAAGCAUUUCUAUUCUGUUAUUCUUGUUUGUAAGUCAGAGCAGCACCUCUGGUCUUGAUAUAAAACUAUAAAAUGAUGUAAGAAGUUUUUUAAAAUCCUUUUAGAUGAUAAAAUUCCC